rnacentral:rRNA from 1 species
AUUGAACGCUGGCGGCAUGCCUAACACAUGCAAGUCGAACGGCAGCACAGAGGAGCUUGCUCCUUGGGUGGCGAGUGGCGGACGGGUGAGUAAUGCAUCGGGACCUACCCAGACGUGGGGGAUAACGUAGGGAAACUUACGCUAAUACCGCAUACGUCCUACGGGAGAAAGCAGGGGACCUUCGGGCCUUGCGCGGUUGGACGGACCGAUGUUCGAUUAGCUAGUUGGUAGGGUAAUGGCCUACCAAGGCGACGAUCGAUAGCUGGUCUGAGAGGAU